UACGUGAGGGGCGAACGUUGUUCGGUGUCACUGGGCUUAAAGGGCGCGCAGGUGGCUGUGCAAGUAAGGUGUGAAAGCCCUCGGCUUACCCGGGGAAUUGCGCCUUAAACUGCAUGGCUUGAGGGAUUCAGGGGAAUGGGGAACUCCAGGUGUAGCGGUGAAAUGCGCAGAUAUCUGGGGGAAGGCCGGCGGCGAAGGCGCCAUUCUGGGAAUUUCCUGACACUGAGGCGCGAAAGCGUGGGGAGCAAACAGG
rnacentral:rRNA from 1 species